rnacentral:lncRNA from 1 species
AAUGCCGAGCUGCGCUGCCCCCAAAAUUCUUUAUCCGCCCACAGAAACAAUGUGAAAUAAUGUUUAUUGUAGUGUUAAGCUGCUAAAUUUUGAGGACUUCUUUCCACAAUGACUGGGAAGGGAGCGGAGCACACAGACUUUUUUAUUCCCAGCUUCGCCGUGCCUUCCCGGGGCUCCUCGGCCGGGUUGCAGACAGCCUGAAAGACGCUCACGUCUCCCAGGAGACCGGGGAAAAUAAGCCACUCUGAUUCUCCACAGAUCUACCGGCCCCAACAAGUAUAUUUGAUUUGCUAGGACUGUGCUGGGGGCUCGUACCCCUCAAGCCCCAGCUGGCCUACGAAAUUCCUGAAAAUAACAACUGGCUUGUUCAAGAGUCCGUAAGAGCCAGGGCCGGCACACCACCGCAGCCAUCUUCGCCACAGGCCCAAGAAGCAGAGAAAGCCGAUCUGCAGAGACAGAGAAAAAGAGAGAGGGCAGAGGGGGAGGAGGAGGAGAAAGAGGAUGAGGAAGAAAAGGAGAAUGAGAAGAAAGAAGAAUGCAAAGAAAGGCGAAGACGAGAGAGGUUAGAGGGACGAUUGCCUGGAUUCCUGACCUGUCCAACUUCUUUGUUCUAGUCCCUUCCUGCAAGCCGAGUG